UACGGAGGAUGCGAGCGUUAUCCGGAUUUAUUGGGUUUAAAGAGCGUGUAGGCGGACUUGUAAGUCAGAGGUGAAAUCCCAGGGCCUAACCCUGGAACUGCCUUUGAAACUACAAGUCUAGCAUCUCGGAGGGGGUAGCGGAAUUCCAAAUGUAGGGGUGAAAUCCGUAGAUAUUUGGAGGAACACCGGUGGCGAAGGCGGCUACCUGGACGAGUAUGGACGCUGAGACGCGAAAGCGUGGGGAGCAAACAGG
rnacentral:rRNA from 1 species